CCUACGGGUGGCAGCAGUGAGGAAUAUUGGUCAAUGGGCGGAAGCCUGAACCAGCCAAGUAGCGUGCGGGAUGAAGGCCCUACGGGUCGUAAACCGCUUUUGCACGGGGAUAACACCCUCCACUUGUGUAGGUCUGCAGGUACCGUACGAAUAAGGGCCGGCUAAUUCCGUGCCAGCAGCCGCGGUAAUACGGGGGGUGCGAGCGUUACUCGGAAUUACUUGGCGUAAAGCGCACGUAGGCGGUAUGUCAAGUCAAGGGUGAAAUCCCCGCGCUCAACGUGGGAACGGCCUUUGAAACUGGCAAACUGGAGUGUGUGAGAGGAGAGUGGAAUUCCAGGUGUAGGAGUGAAAUCCGUAGAUAUCGGGAGGAACAUCAGUGGCGAAGGCGACUAGCUGGAACAUAACUGACGCUGAGGAGCGAAAGCGUGGGUAGCAAACAGGAUUAGAUACCCUUGUAGUC
rnacentral:rRNA from 1 species